GCCGAGCUCAGUAGCGCGAGCUUGUAACCUAUGUGGGGGCUUGAGAGUGGUUGGAAGCUAAUUUGUCUUUGCGGGUUGGGCCUUGUAGGGGCAAUUUCCUGAUUCGUCCGUUUCAAGCUGGGAGUUGGGUCAUGUGAAUUGGGCGUAGGCUUAGUCCACGUGGUCCUUAGAGAGGAGGGUACUGCGUCAGGCUGGUUUCACAGAGCAGCGUUCAACUUCCCGCUCUUGGCAGUGGAAGGAUAACGAGUUGGAGCUCCCAUGGCCCCAGUAAUGCCCUAAGAGUCGAGCUCAGUUGAACAACCACUUUU
rnacentral:SRP_RNA from 1 species